rfam:Caenorhabditis brenneri strain PB2801 C_brenneri-6.0.1_Cont43.1, whole genome shotgun sequence.
GUAAAAAUAUUGCGUAGGAUAUUGCUACGAAUGUGGGACAAGUGGCUUUCGAAGCAAAGGCCUACGCAAUAUUUUUUC